rnacentral:rRNA from 1 species
CCUACGGAUGGCAGCAGUGAGGACUCUUGGUCAAUGGGCGGAAGCCUGAACCAGCCCAGUAGCGUGCAGGAUGACGGCCCUCCGGGUUGUAAACUGCUUUUAUACGGUAAUAACGCGCCUUACGUGUAGGGCUUUGCAUGUACCGUAUUAAUCAGGACCGGCUAAUUCCGUGCCAGCAGCCGCGGUAAUACGGAAGGUCAGGGCGUUAGCCGGAUUUAUUGGGUUUAAAGGGAGCGUAGGCCGCAUGUCCAGCGUGCUGUGAAAUGUCCGGGCUCAACCCGGGCCUUGCAGCGCCAACCGGCGUGCUUGAGUCCGCGGAAAGCAGGCGGAAUGCGUGGUGUAGCGGUGAAAUGCUUAGAUAUGACGAAGAACCCCGAUUGCGAAGGCAGCUUGCUGCAGCGGAACUGACGCUGAUGCUCGAAAGCGCGGGUAUCGAACAGGAUUAGAUACCCGGGUAGUC